rnacentral:lncRNA from 1 species
AGUGCAAACUCAAUCCAAAACUCACAAAUCAAGCAUAGAUCCUGAGCAGUCUACUAUGUGACAGUCCAAAUCCAAACAGUUUCUAUUAUACAUGCCAUACAAAUCUCAGAUCUUGACUACUAAACAUGUUAAGUAAGUAAAAUACAGCAAGAACUCAAAUAACUAAUUAAGAUGCUUCUUCAUUCAAUAUUCAAACUCGUAUUUAUACGGUCUUUCACAUUUCAACAGGGAAGGUAGUGAAGUACUUGGAAAUGCAAGGAAACAAUCGAAAGAGGAUGGUCAGCAACAGUUUUAAAAUGGACAAAUCACAGCAACAGAAAACACAACAACCCAUAUGUAAAGUAUACGAAUAAAAUGCUUCAAACCAAGUUGAAAUAAACCCGCAGAUCUAACACAACAAUGGAAAAGAAAAACCAAAAUCCAGGAAGCUUUCAAUAAUCUUCAAAACCCCAUAGAUUUGCUCGACAAUAGGAACCAGAUAAUGAAACCUGAAGACCUCAGCCGAAACUAUCCUCAAUCAAUGGAACAAUGGUCCAUUUUAAUGUUUUCUGUAUAUUUUUUAGUUUUUUUGAAUUAGAAACUGACUGAAACUUGUAAAAAGAGAAGAAAAUAAGAGAGUUUUUAGUGCUGUUUUCCAACUGAAAAGAUUGAACCCAAAAAUUUCUUGAAAUCAAUUGUGAAUAACCCAGAAAUUUCAACGAAGUAGCAAGAGAACCAUGGAAUUAAAUUAUGAACUAGAGUAUCAAAAAUUAGCUUAAAACUCUAAUGAAACAGUGACCUUCUAUUGGAUUUUCACAGUUUUGUAUAUUUUUUGAGAUUUUUGUAUGUGACUGCAGAAAUUAACUUUAAGCUUACAAGGAAAAACAAAAAUGGAAUUUUAUGUGUAUU